CGUUCUGACACGGGGUGUGUCCGCCGAUGCGGAUGCUGAGAUCAAACCCGCCGAACCUGAUGCAGGUAAUGCUGACGAAGGGAUGUCAAGGCGAUGACGC
rnacentral:ncRNA from 2 species